GACGAACGCUGGCGGCGUGCUUAACACAUGCAAGUUGAACGGGGCAUAUUUGAAGGGUAACCGGAGGGUAUGUCUAGUGGCGAACGGGUGAGUAAUGCAUGAGAACGUAUCCUCAAGAGGGGGACAACAUUGGGAAACCGAUGCUAAUACCCCAUAAGCCGGGAGGUAAAAGGAGCAAUCCGCUUGAGGAGCGGUUCAUGUCCUAUCAGCUGGUUGGUGAGGUAACGGCUCACCAAGGCGAAGACGGGUAGCCGGCCUGAGAGGGUGAACGGCCACACUGGAACUGAGAGACGGUCCAGACUCCUACGGGAGGCAGCAGUGGGGAAUAUUGGGCAAUGGGGGAAACCCUGACCCAGCCAUGCCGCGUGCAGGAUGAAGGCCUUCGGGUUGUAAACUGCUUUGUACGGAACGAAAGACUCUGGUUAAUACCUGGGUCCAUGACGGUACCGUAAGAAUAAGCACCGGCUAACUACGUG
rnacentral:rRNA from 1 species